AGUUGCGUUCCCUGACUCGGAGUCUUAGUGUGUCGUUAUUUGGACAAGAGGCACAUUGACCCAAUUUGGAGACGUAUUUUGGAAGGAGGUGUGAAAAAGACAGCAUGAACUUUACCCCAACACACACCCCUGUCUGCAGAAAGUAAGACAUUUGCUUAUUUUCAAGUUGUUAAGAAAUCGAGACUUGUAUAGCCUUAGUCUAAGCAUAGGAACUGGAAAGGUAUUGGAAACAUAUUUCCUAAAGUUUUUUUUCUUUGAGACAGAGUUUCACUCUGUGCCCAGGAUGGGGUGCAGUGGUGCAAUCAUUGCUCAUUGCAGCCUUGACCUCCUGCACUCAAGCAAUCCUCCCACCUCAGCCUCCCAGAGUGCUGUGAUUACAGGCAUAAGCCACUGUGCCCAGCCUGAGACAUCCCCUUUAGAAAAUAUGAAAUGUUGGCCGGGCACGGUGGCUCACUCCUGUAAUCCCAGCACUUUGGGAGGCUGAGGUGGGCAGGUCACAAGG
rnacentral:lncRNA from 10 species